rnacentral:tRNA from 1 species
UCCCUGGUGGUCCAGUAGCUGAGACACUGUCUCCCAAUGCAGGGGUCCCGGGUUCAAUCCCUGGUCAGGGAA